GGCGCAGUGGUUAAGCAUUCAGCUGCUAACUGAAAAGUCGGAGGUUCAAACCCCCCCUACACUC
rnacentral:tRNA from 1 species